rnacentral:tRNA from 1 species
UGGCUGAGCGGUAAAGCGCUUGGCUUCCAAACCGGAGACCGAGGUUCGAAUCCUGG